GACGAACGCUGGCGGCGUGCUUAACACAUGCAAGUCGAACGGUAAGGUCCUUCGGGGUACACGAGUGGCGAACGGGUGAGUAACACGUGGGUGAUCUGCCCUGCACUUCGGGAUAAGCCUGGGAAACUGGGUCCAAUACCGGAUAGGACCCUGGGAUGCAUGUCCUGGGGUGGAAAGCUUUUGCGGUGUGGGAUGGGCCCGCGGCCUAUCAGCUUGUUGGUGGGGUGAUGGCCUACCAAGGCGACGACGGGUAGCCGGCCUGAGAGGGUGACCGGCCACACUGGGACUGAGAUACGGCCCAGACUCCUACGGGAGGCAGCAGUGGGGAAUAUUGCACAAUGGGCGCAAGCCUGAUGCAGCGACGCCGCGUGAGGGAUGACGGCCUUCGGGUUGUAAACCUCUUUCAGCACCGACGAAGCGCAAGUGACGGUAGGUGCAGAAGAAGGACCGGCCAACUACGUGCCAGCAGCCGCGGUAA
rnacentral:rRNA from 1 species